UACGAAGGGGGCUAGCGUUGUUCGGAUUUACUGGGCGUAAAGCGCGUGUAGGCGGGUCGUUAAGUUGGGGGUGAAAUCCCGAGGCUCAACCUCGGAACUGCCUUCAAAACUGGCGACCUGGAGCAAGAUAGAGGCAAGUGGAAUUGCGAGUGUAGAGGUGAAAUUCGUAGAUAUUCGCAGGAACACCAGUGGCGAAGGCGACUUGCUGGAUCUUUGCUGACGCUGAGACGCGAAAGCGUGAGGAGCAAACAGG
rnacentral:rRNA from 1 species